rnacentral:lncRNA from 1 species
GGUGUGCAGCCAACUCUGUAUCCUGCUCCUGCCUUGGUUGUGGGUGGGGAAAGGCGGUUGGAGUGGCUCCUUAGAAAACAGAAUUACAGUAAAACGUGGGAGGUUCCUACAAGUCACCUGUGAGCUGCUUCCUCCCAUUCCUGGACCUGGGUUGCCUGGGAGGAACUUUAAAUUGCCACCCAGCUCAGCCCUGGCCACUGGCUCCGGCAGCAUGACGGCAAGAGGCAUCUUCCUGCUGGGGCUCCUCGCCCUGUGGGCAGAGCUGCAGGCAGCACCCACCGCAGGGCUCCCCGGAGCAGUCUCUGCCAGGCAGCCACAGCCAGGACAGCCUGGAAGUGCUUUGCCAGGGAAAUGCCCUUGGCCUGGCAAAGAGCCCAACGCAGUGCCCGAUCCACAGCCCGGCAGGAUCACCCUGGAUGGGAAGGAGGAGCCGGGUACGGAGCGGGUGGGUAAGAACCGGUGCCCACCCGGGGCUGAGCCGGUGGCUGCUGUGACACCCACGCUGGGGAAGAAGCCGGUGACCGGGGGAGAGCCUGCGGCAGGGAACAAGCCCAUGCUGGCUGGGAAAUUGGACACUGGGAAGAAACCUAUUUCAGGGAAAAAGCCAGCAUGCGGGGGGAAGACUGAGACUAGGGAAAAGCCAGAGGUCGUAGCAAAGCCGGAGAUCACAGCAAAACCAGGAGGGAAGCCAGACACCGGGGGGAAGCCGGAGACCGGGGUGAAGCCAGAGACUGCAGGAAAGCCAGAAACUGGUGGAAAACCAGUAGCUGGGGAUAAGCUGGAGACUGGAGAGAAGCCGGAGACUGCGGGGAAGCCAGAGACUGGUGGGAAACCAGUGGCUGGGGAGAAGCCGGCACCUGCAGAGAAGCCAGAAGCUGGGGAGAAACCUGUGCUGGGGGAAAAGCCGGAGUCAGAGGGAAAGCCAGAGAGUGAGGGGAAGCCUGAGGCAGGAGAGAAGCCUGAGUCUGACCAAGGUGACAGUGGGGAGGAUGAUGACAGUGAUGAUGAUGACGACGAUGAUGAUGACAAUGAUGAGAAAAAUGAGCAUGGCGAUGGCGACGAUAACGGCGACAAUGAUGACGGUGACGAUGAUGACGGCGAUGAUGAUGGCGGCGACGAUGAUGGUGACGAUGAUGGUGACAACGAUGGUGAUGGUGGUGACAAUGAUGGUGACAACGAUGGUGAUGGCGGCGACAAUGAUGGUGACGACGAUGAUGAUGACAAUGGUGACAACGAUGAUGACGGUGAUGACAAUGACAACUAUGAUGACUACAGAUAUGAUGAUUAUGGUGACAAUGACGAUGAUGGUUAUGAUGAUGGCGGUGGUGAUGGUUAUAACUCUUAGUGACCAAUGCCACAGGGUGUGUGAAGAGUGUGUGGGACAAGAAGAGCCUGUGGCAGGUGGGUACAGGGCUGGUUGCCCCCAGCCUCCUCCUCUGCCUCACUCUGCCAGGGCCCGUCCCAGACACCAAUGGCAUUUUGGGCAGGACCUUCUCUUUCCUAAUAAACCCCACAUU